rnacentral:rRNA from 1 species
AUUAAGCACCCCGCCUGGGGAGUACGGUCGCAAGACUAAAACUCAAAGGAAUUGACGGGGGCCCGCACAAGCGGCGGAGCAUGCGGAUUAAUUCGAUGCAACGCGAAGAACCUUACCAAGGCUUGACAUAUAGAGGAAAAGCGUAGAAAUACGCUCCCCGCAAGGUCUCUAUACAGGUGGUGCAUGGUUGUCGUCAGCUCGUGUCGUGAGAUGUUGGGUUAAGUCCCGCAACGAGCGCAACCCUCGUCCUAUGUUGCCAGCACGUAAUGGUGGGAACUCAUGGGAGACUGCCGGGGUCAACUCGGAGUAAGUUGGGGAUGACGUCAAAUCAUCAGGCCCCUUAUGUCUUGGGCUUCACGCAUGCUACAAUGGCCAGUACAAAGGGCUGCGAUACCGUAAGGUGGAGCGAAUCCCAUAAAGCUGUUCUCAGUUCGGAUUGAGGUCUGCAACUCGACCUCAUGAAGUCGGAGUCGCUAGUAAUCGUAGAUCAGCAACGCUACGGUGAAUACGUUCCCGGGCAUUGUACACACCGCCCGUCAAGUCACGAAAGU